rnacentral:rRNA from 1 species
AUGGAGAUGCUUGGCGACGGACCAGGCUUUCGUUCGUCAGCCAAUGCCAUGUACAGGGGCCGCGGCCAGUCUCAGGGCAGAGGAGGCCGCGGACGUAGAGGGCGUGGUCGCUCUGAUCGUGCUCCAUCUUCUCCUGUUCGCACCGGUGGGAACAACGGCUACCAGCAGCGUCAACGCCAGCCAUCGCAGCAGCAGUAUCAGCAGCAGCAUGAGGAGGAUUACCCCGAGUGCCAGAUAUGUUACAAAUUCCAUGCUGGUGGCGCUAGGGACUGCUGGGAUCGGUACAAGGAAGAUCGUCAGGAAAGGAAGAAGGUUAACCUCGUCACCAACUCGUAUGGCAUCGACACUAAUUGGUAUGCAGAUUCGGGUGCCACCGAACAUAUCACAAGAGAGCUUGAUAAGUUAACAAUGCGGGAGAAAUACCACGGAGGUGACCAAGUUCACACGGCAAGCGGAGCUGGACUUGGCAACGAGGAGAGUCAUCCUUAG